GAUGAACGCUGGCGGCGUGCCUAAUACAUGCAAGUCGAGCGAACAGACGAGGAGUUUGCUCCUCUGACGUUAGCGGCGGACGGGUGAGUAACACGUGGAUAACCUACCUAUAAGACUGGGAUAACUUCGGGAAACCGGAGCUAAUACCGGAUAAUAUAUUGAACCGCAUGGUUCAAUAGUGAAAGACGGUUUUGCUGUCACUUAUAGAUGGAUCCGCGCCGCAUUAGCUAGUUGGUAAGGUAACGGCUUACCAAGGCAAUGAUGCGUAGCCGACCUGAGAGGGUGGUCGGCCACACGGGAGCUGAGACACGGACCAGACUCCUACGGGAGGCAGCAGUAGGGAAUCUUCCGCAAUGGGCGAAAGCCUGACGGAGCAACGCCGCGUGAGUGAUGAAGGUCUUCGGAUCGUAAAGCUCUGUUAUUAGGGGAGAACAAAUGUGUAAGUAACUAUGCACGUCUUGACGGUACCUAAUCAGAAAGCCACGGCUAACUACGUG
rnacentral:rRNA from 1 species